AUGUGUUAAUAGGAGAACGACGCCGUUUUGGUUAGGAUUGAGUGGGUUGGGCCAGUUACGUUCAAUUGGGUUGACUGGGCUGGUGUAGCCAACUUUUUUUUUUUUUUUACUUGGUUCCUGUACAUGUUACGUUUUGAUAGUAGUGAUUUUCACACUCUCAGUUUUUUUUAGUUUCUCUUAAUUUGGGCAGCUAACAAAUAAUGAGAAGAGUUAGAUGAGGAGAAAAUGGAAGUGCGAAAAUCACUCAUCUUGGCCAAGGUCGAUUGUAAGGGAAGAUCUCUAGGAAAGUGGAUAAAAGCUGCUCUCUUUCUUACGCAGUCUGGUAAGUUUUGAAGGGUGCCCUAAUUAGUUUCUUCAAGCCACAGGUCUUUGGUUUCAAAUUUGAAGAAAUUUGAGUCAUUUGACCAACAUAAUUACUAUAUGUGGAUUAGAUCAGUUAGUUAGGGCAAUAUCUUCGCUCUCUUGCAUUCAAGCUCGAAUAUAGUUUUUCAUGUCAGUUAGAGCAAUAUGUUCGUUCUCUGGCACUCAAAUUUGAAUAUAGUUCUUCAUAAAUUUGAAUAUAGGCCUCCGGAUGAGAAGGCAUUGUCUGAUUGUUUUCCUUCUCCUGGCAUUCAGUUAUCCGCGGAGGAGCUGAGUAAGGGUUUGACGUGGCGACGAAGACAAGGUUCCGAGGGACAUCAAUGGAAGGGCUGCUUCCCCUAUUGUUGCUCCUGCAUCCUCGUUAAACUUGCCGAAAUUGUCAGGCAGCAUGAAGGUCUCUCACAGGAUUUUGCCUGUUCGGACAUCUAAUUUCGAUAUGCUCCCACGAAACGUGCAACAUUGUUCAAUUGUGAGUCCUUCUUCUAGUGAUGAAGUUCCAACAUAGCAACCCCUACAAUUUGAAAUUUGGUGCCAUAAAAUUUAACACAACAAUUUGUGAUUUAAAGAUUAUUGAUUACCAUUUCAUUAGUUCUAGCAAAGUACAUGUGAUGAGGACUAAAACAAAAUUAAUGUUGUGUUGAAAGGAUUAAAACAUUGCCAUGAAACUAAUAACAAACUCGGAUGCCAAGUUGCCAACAGAAGAACAUAUUUGUAUUGUUUAUUAACAUAUGCAGAAACUACAGUGUGAAUAGAUAAAGACUUGGAUUAUUAGAAAUUGACAUAUUACUUAAAGUACCAAGUAGGUAUAAAAAAUUUCAUGUUUCUAUCAUUGCAGAACACAAAUUGCCCAGAAUCACAUGGUGUUGCUUAUCUUGUUCCUAACUUCUUAUUUUCAAGUAACACCAUUGACUGACUCAUAAGUUAUUAAUAUUAGAAAAGGAAAUCCAUGACUUCAGUGGGAACGCUUAUGCUCAUACGUAUUUUUAUUGGAGACACUUUUGUUAGAAACACACUAAAAAGGUAAAAAGUCAUUUUUAUUGGAGACACUUUUGUUAGAAACACACUAAAAAGGUAAAAAGUCAAGUUAUUUUCUAAUCUGAAGCUUUUGUUAGAAACACACUAAAAAGGUAAGAAGUCAAGUUAUUUUCUAAUCUUAGUGCGUUUAUAGUUCAUAAGCAGUUUUAAUUACUAGCUAGCAAUUAAAAAGAAAUUAACAACCAAACAGAAAUUGGUAAAAAAUGGAAAGAAAAAAAAACACAUAGCAUUUAUUUUAAACAACAGAAACCAUUCCAAAACUUUUAAAAAUUUAUACUCUUAUGAAAAGAAAUUCCUAAAAAGUUGAAAAUAAAAAAACACAUAACAUUUUGAACCCAGGACCUCCUUGUUAUACUCUUAUGAAAAGAAAUUCCUAAAAAAUUGAAAAUAAAAAAACACACAUAACAUUUUGAACCCAUGACCUCCUUAUUAAUUUUAAAUAGCAUGAACCACCACUUCUAGUUAAACUUCUUAUUCAUUUGACCAAAUUU
rnacentral:lncRNA from 1 species